AAUCAUUUACAAUAUUAAUAUUACAGUUUUUAUUAUAAAAUGUUUAUUUUUCAUUACAACUUACUGAAGAAAAUUAUGCUAGUGAUGUUGCUACUGGGUAUCUUUUUGCAUAUAGUUUAUUAACGGUAACAAAAAUGAAAUGAUACUGGGAUUGCAAUACUUUAAUAACGAUAACAACAAUCAAAUGAUACUGAAAAUGCAUUUAGUUGGUAAAUAUAACAACGAUUUAAUGUUACAGGAAAUGCAAAUAGCUUGGUAAAUAUAACAACGAGUUAAUGUUACUGGAAAUGCAAAUAGAUUGGUAAUGAUACCAGCAAUCCAGUUGUUGUUAUUUAAAAUGCAUAUAGCUUGGUAAUGAUACCAGCAAUCCAGUUGUUGUUAUUUAAAAUGCAUAUAGCUUGGUAAUGAUACCAGCAAUCCAGUUGUUGUUAUUAGAAAUGCAUAUAGCUUGGUGAAGUUAUGUAAUACCGGAUAGAUGGUUCUCAAAUCUAUACUGGCAAUUGUCGUCACUAAUACAUUGAAUUUGUCUAUGAUAACGUAUAAUGUCUCAAGUUUUACGCCUAAAUCUCUAACAUACUUAACGAAAACGCAAAGUAAACAAACAACAUUUUCAUGUUUAAUGAAUAAAGUGUAACAAAGAUGAAUGAAGUUAUAACGCACAUCUAAAGAUACUGUAAUAUUUAUAAAACAAACAUUUUUUAAAUACAUUUUAAACAUUGUCUUUGUAUUUUUUAUAUCUUUUUA